GACACACGCCGACUUUUCAGGCGCGUGGGGGCGCGUGCGAUGGCCCCGCAUCGCGGGCCAAUCGCGCAAGUCUGAGUAUUGAGCUGCAGAACAUUGCGCGAUGGUCCCGCAUCGCGGACCAAUCGCGAAUCGGCACCCCAUUCACGAAAAUUUACCCUAAAGUCAAUAAGAACAAGUCCCAAGCCUCAAGAACCAUACAAGGUAAGUGUUACCAUGAUUCUAGGUUGAAUUCAAGUUCCUAAUCCCUUUCUAACAUGAUUUUAUGACCAAAACCUAGGGUUUGCAACAUAAUUCUUUCCAAAGUAAUUCAAGCUAGGGUUUGGGUAUUCUUCAUUAGCAAAGUGAUUUGUUAAACCUUGUUUAACAAAUUAAGCUACUCGGGAGGAAGGGUAGCCACUAUGGAUCCUAGUGUGGUAAUUGCCUAGCCAUUCG